rnacentral:tRNA from 1 species
GGGGCUAUAGCUCAGUUGGGAGAGCACGACACUGGCAGUGUCGGGGUCAGCGGUUCGAUUCCGCUUAGCUCCACCA